AACGAACGCUGGCGGCGUGCCUAACACAUGCAAGUCGAGGGAGAAAGGGAGCUUCGGCUCCCGAGUAAACCGGCGCACGGGUGAGUAAUACGUAGGUAACGUACCUUCGAGUCUGGGAUAACCAGUCGAAAGACUGGCUAAUACCGGAUACGACCGAGGGGGCUUCGGCUCUCACGGUGAAAGAUGGCCUCUGCUUGCACGCUAUCACUCGAGGAGCGGCCUGCGCACCAUUAGCUAGUUGGUGAGGUAACGGCUCACCAAGGCUGAGAUGGUUAGCUGGUCUGAGAGGAUGGCCAGCCACACUGGGACUGAGACACGGCCCAGACUCCUACGGGAGGCAGCAGUGGGAAUAUUGCGCAAUGGGCGAAAGCCUGACGCAGCGACG
rnacentral:rRNA from 1 species